rnacentral:rRNA from 1 species
UACGUAGGAGGCGAGCGUUGUCCGGAAUUACUGGGCGUAAAGCGCGUGUAGGCGGUCCGCUUUGUCGGGGAUGAAAGCCCUCUGCUCAACGGGGGGAGGCUUCUCGAAACGGGGCGGACUCACUGGAGUCUGGUAGGGGGGUGCGGAAUGGCCGGGUGGAGCGGUGAAAUGCGUAGAGAUCGGUCAGAACACCAGUGGCGAAGGCGGCACCCUGGGCCAGUACUGACGCUGAGACGCGAAAGCGUGGGGAGCGAACGGA